rnacentral:rRNA from 1 species
UACGAAGGGGGCGAGCGUUGUUCGGAUUUACUGGGCGUAAAGGGCGCGUAGGCGGCCAGAUUAGUCAGGCGUGAAAGCCCUGGGCUCAACCUGGGGACUGCGCUUGAGACGGUAUGGCUUGAGGGUGGAAGAGGCUCGCGGAAUUCCCAGUGUAGAGGUGAAAUUCGUAGAUAUUGGGAAGAACACCGGUGGCGAAGGCGGCGAGCUGGUCCAUCACUGACGCUGAGGCGCGACAGCGUGGGGAGCAAACAGG